rnacentral:misc_RNA from 1 species
AGUGUUCUUGCAGCCAAAACAUUUCUCCCUUGUUCCACCAAACAUGCUCGUCACUUUAGCUACCUGUGGUUUCUCACUGUCAAUGAGCUUCUGUGGCUUCACAAUUUUUGGUGUCCCUUCAAAGCUUUUAUCCAAACUGCCAGUUUGUUUGAAGAGCUGAUCAAAGUGUGGUCUACAGUACAGAACUCCUUCAAAGGAAUUGUAGUUGCCA